AGCUUUGUGCAGUGGCAGUAUCAUAGCCAGUGAGGUCUAUCUGAGGCAUGAUUAUUGCUAAUUGAAAACUUUUCCCAAUACCCUGCUGUGACAACUUGCAAUAUAGUCAGCAUUGGCAAUUUUUGACAGUCUUCACGGAGA
ensembl:snRNA U4 U4 spliceosomal RNA